UACAGAGGUCUCAAGCGUUGUUCGGAUUCAUUGGGCGUAAAGGGUGCGUAGGUGGCGGGGUAAGUCAGGUGUGAAAUUUCGGAGCUUAACUCCGAAACUGCAUUUGAUACUGCCUUGCUUGAGGACUGGAGAGGAGACUGGAAUUUCCGGUGUAGCGGUGAAAUGCGUAGAGAUCGGAAGGAACACCGGUGGCGAAGGCGGCUGCCUGGCCUGUUACUGACACUGAGGCACGAAAGCGUGGGGAGCAAACAGG
rnacentral:rRNA from 1 species